rnacentral:rRNA from 1 species
CGCUGGCGGCGUGCCUAACACAUGCAAGUCGAGCGGGGACAUACGACGGAUAGGAAGUUUCGGAUGGAAUUGAAGAUGUAUUGUUCUAGCGGCGGACGGGUGAGUAACGCGUGAGCAACCUGUCCCUUACAGGGGGAUAACACAGCGAAAGUUGUACUAAUACCGCAUAAGACCACGGGGAGACAUCUUCCAGGGGUCAAAGGAGCAAUCCGGUAAGGGGUGGGCUCGCGUCCGAUUAGAUAGUUGGUGAGGUAACGGCCCACCAAGUCGACGAUCGGUAGCCGACCUGAGAGGGUGAUCGGCCACAUUGGGACUGAGACACGGCCCAAACUCCUACGGGAGGCAGCAGUGGGGAAUAUUGGGCAAUGGGGGGAAACCCUGACCCAGCAACGCCGCGUGAGGGAAGAAGGUUUUCGGAUCGUAAACCUCUGUCCUUGGUGAAGAGGAAGAGACGGUAGCCAAGGAGGAAGCCCCGGCUAACUACGUGCCAGCCGCCGC